rnacentral:tRNA from 2 species
CGCAGGGUAGAGCAGUUGGCAGCUCAUCGGGCUCAUAACCCGGGGGUCGUAGGUUCGAGUCCUACCCCUGCUA